AGUAUCCCAGCAAUAUGCUAUGCACGUCAACUACAAUACAUUAAUUAAAUUAGAAGGCUAAAACAAAGCUUAUAUACUAUACAAGAAAUCGCUUAUGUUGUACAUUCUUGGAAUUAGUUGUCGGUGUGAGAAACGCGCUGGUUAUGAUUUAUUCACAUCGAUAACUAGGUCUUGUAAUGUAUCAUUGCGAUGUAUACAAUUUCAUUAUACAAUUCUAUGUAUACCGAAGGUGAUUAUUUUUAUGUGGGAAAGUGAAGUAAAUUAAUAAAUUACCUAUUGAUAGGAAUGUGAGAUGUGGACAAAUGUUGCAGAAAGUCUAUUGUAGGUUACAUUUUUAACAGUUUAUAUGUGAUUACUUCCGCAAAUUAGUGAUUACACUUCUACUAGUCUAUUUUCGUACUGAAACUCAACAUUCGUGUUCUUCAUGUUUUCUUUAUACCUACAUGUACCAAUGAUCUAUACUUGCUGAUAACAGUUGUGUAAUUUUAUGCUUAAGUGAUGUUAUUUUUUCUAAAAAAAGAAAAGCAUUAAUUGUGUGAAAUAUUGAAGAAACUACAUAUAAUCAGAUAAAUGUAAUGGAUGAAGGAAUUUUAAACGAUUUAUUGGAAUGUUCUGUUUGCUUAGAACGUUUGGAUUCUUCAAGUAAAGUUUUACCAUGCCAACAUACAUUUUGUCGAGAAUGUUUGGAAGGGAUUUACAAUAAACAUAAACAAUUAAAAUGUCCAGAAUGUAGGAUAUUGGUUCCAACAAGAAUAGAAGAUUUACCACCUAACAUAUUGCUAAUGAGAAUAUUAGAGGGAAUAAAAAGUACUGCUCCAAGAAAGGACAAACAAAACGUGAAUGAUUUUAUUGCCUUAAAAGACCUAAAUGGUCACGAAAAUUAUAAUAGUAAAUCUACUACCGAAGAUACACAGCUGUCAGAUGCUACUGGAUUUACUGAUCCUCAAACAUAUUUUCUUGCAAGAGCUGAGUAUGACUAUAUACCAAAAGAAUCUAGCGGUCUAGAAAUAAGGAAAGAUGAUUUAAUUAAUGUUAAAAAGCAAGUGGAUCAAAAUUGGUUUUACGGUGAAUGUAACGGAAGAGAAGGGUUAUUUCCGGCAAAUUAUGUUCUCGCAGCAGCUCCAUUGCCAAGUAGUAUACCACAAUGUAAAGCACUUUAUGAUUUUCACAUGGAAAAUGACGAAGAGGGAUGCCUUUCGUUUAACAAGGGUGAAGUGAUAAUAGUUAUACGAAGAGUUGACGAAAACUGGGCCGAAGGCCGUUUGCAAGACAAAAUAGGGAUAUUCCCUUUGGCCUUUGUCGAGUUAAAUAGUUUAGCAAGAUCAUUAAUAAAUCUUUCUAUAAAGGUUUCACAUAUUCCUAAUAAGCAACAAAGCUCCAUAGAUUCAGCAUUACAAAUUUUAAAUCAUGGCAAACUUCAAGAAGAGAAAAAACGUCAUAAAAAUGAGUUCUUAGAUCCCCCUCAAUCGCACAGCCAACAAUUAAUUAAAAAAGUAGACGAUUCAAAUUUUAAUGUGCUUGGGACAAUAGUUUUACCAUCAAGUUAUAUUGCCUUAUUCUCAUAUAAACCUCAAAAACCUGAUGAAUUGGAACUAAAAAAGGGCGAAACUUACAUAGUUACUGAAAGAUGUCAAGAUGGCUGGUUUAAAGGUGUUUCAAGAAACACCCAGAAGAGUGGUGUUUUUCCUGGUAACUACAUCACACCAUUCAGCCAAGCUUUAAAAGGUCCGUAUAUGACGAACUUGGGUAAAAAAAAUAAGUUAAAAUAUUCGAACUGUACAAAACAUCUCACUUUUGAGCAAAGUUUAUGUGGGUUACCGCCAGAAUUACCUCCAAGAUGUUCCACUCCAUCGCUAAACACAAAUUCGCGUGUUUUUAUUCAAACUUCGCAAACAAAUAACUGUACCUCAGCUAAUUCUGUUAAAGCCCCUAUUACUACCGCUGAUGUUUUCAACGUGGGCAAAUCGGAUGAUAAGAACGGAGAACGAUUAGAUAAAGGAACCGCUAAUUUUAUAAGUAGAUUAACUAUAAGCAAGCGAUCUAAAUCUCCUCCUGCCACAUUACUAUCAAUAGAUAACCCAGGUUUUGAGGAUAAUAUUGCCAGUGGAACUGUUUUAUCAUCUACACAUGUCAGAUCCGGUUCCUGCCCUAGUAAAAUGCCGCAAAUAUCGACACUAGAUCAAAGCCAUAGUAAAAACGCUGGUUCGAUGAUUUCUCAACGUUUGAAACACCGGGAACAACUUAGCCUUCCGGUUAAUUUAUCAAGAUGCGAAGAAAAGGAGAAUAAACGACGAUUAAAUUCUAAAAAUCAUCGUAAAUCAAAUUCAUUAGAUAUUGAAAAUAAUACUAGAACAACACCUGCUCAAUGUAAAGGCGAUCGGUAUCGUUGUAUUGUUCCCUAUCCGCCAAAUACCGAAUACGAAUUAGAAUUGCAAGUAAACGAUAUUGUGUAUGUACUUAAAAAACGAGAUGACGGAUGGUACAAAGGAACUCAACAACGCACCGGUAGAACAGGUCUUUUUCCUGCGAGUUUUGUUGAAAAACUUUAAAUUAUUCUCUAUUAAAUCAAUUACUUUUGUUGUUAACAUGAUGUAUUGUAUUAGAGAAUCCACUAUCAGUUAAUUUAUUUCAUAAUUCGUAAGAGAGUUAGCUGAAGAAGUUUCACUUUGUUUUGGGGAGGUACGCACUAACUUCUUGAAUUCAAAAUGAAGCUACUCGAUUAAUAUUCAUGUAUAUAUACACACAUAUAUAUAUAUAUAUAGGAUGUUAUAUACACACAUGUACACUUACAUGAACUUUUUAAUGCAGCAACAAUAAACGAUUUCAAUUAA
rnacentral:misc_RNA from 1 species